GACGAGGCACUACGGUGCUGAAGCAACAAAUGCCCUGCUUCCAGGAAAAGCCUCUAAGCAUCAGGUAACAUCAAAUCGUACCCCAAACCGACACAGGUGGUCAGGUAGAGAAUACCAAGGCGCUUGAGAGAACUCGGGUGAAGGAACUAGGCAAAAUGGUGCCGUAACUUCGGGAGAAGGCACGCUGACACGUAGGUGAAGUGAUUUACUCAUGGAGCUGAAGUCAGUCGAAGAUACCAGCUGGCUGCAACUGUUUAUUAAAAACACAGCAC
rnacentral:rRNA from 2 species